GUGGGGAAUAUUGGACAAUGGGCGAAAGCCUGAUCCAGCCAUGCCGCGUGUGUGAAGAAGGUCUUCGGAUUGUAAAGCACUUUAAGUUGGGAGGAAGGGCAGUAAGUUAAUACCUUGCUGUUUUGACGUUACCAACAGAAUAAGCACCGGCUAACUUCGUGCCAGCAGCCGCGGUAAUACGAAGGGUGCAAGCGUUAAUCGGAAUUACUGGGCGUAAAGCGCGCGUAGGUGGUUCAGUAAGUUGGAAGUGAAAUCCCCGGGCUCAACCUGGGAACUGCUUUCAAAACUGCUGAGCUAGAGUACGGUAGAGGGUGGUGGAAUUUCCUGUGUAGCGGUGAAAUGCGUAGAUAUAGGAAGGAACACCAGUGGCGAAGGCGACCACCUGGACUGAUACUGACACUGAGGUGCGAAAGCGUGGGGAGCAAACAGGAUUAGAAACCCCAGUAGUCC
rnacentral:rRNA from 1 species